rnacentral:rRNA from 1 species
GACGAACGCUGGCGGCGUGCUUAACACAUGCAAGUCGAACGGUGAACCAGAGCUUGCUCUGGGGAUCAGUGGCGAACGGGUGAGUAACACGUGGGCAACCUGCCCCAGACUCUGGGAUAACCUCGGGAAACCGAUGCUAAUACCGGAUACGACCACUUCGGACAUCCGACGGUGGUGGAAAGUUUUUCGGUCUGGGAUGGGCCCGCGGCCUAUCAGCUAGUUGGUGGGGUAAUGGCCUACCAAGGCGACGACGGGUAGCCGGCCUGAGAGGGCGACCGGCCACACUGGAACUGAGACACGGUCCAGACUCCUACGGGAGGCAGCAGUGAGGAAUAUUGCACAAUGGGCGAAAGCCUGAUGCAGCGACGCCGCGUGAGGGACGACGGCCUCGGUUGUAA